rnacentral:rRNA from 1 species
UACCAGACUCCUACGGGAGGCAGCAGUGAGGAAUAUUGGUCAAUGGUCGGGAGACUGAACCAGCCAAGCCGCGUGAGGGAUGAAGGUACAGAGUAUCGUAAACCUCUUUUGUCAGGGAACAAAGGCGGGGACGUGUCCCCGGAUGAGUGUACCUGAAGAAAAAGCAUCGGCUAACUCCGUGCCAGCAGCCGCGGUAAUACGGAGGAUGCGAGCGUUAUCCGGAUUUAUUGGGUUUAAAGGGUGCGCAGGCGGAUUUUUAAGUCAGCGGUCAAAUCGUGGGGCUCAACCCCAUCCAGCCGUUGAAACUGGGGAUCUAGAGUGUGCGAGAGGUAUGCGGAAUGCGUGGUGUAGCGGUGAAAUGCAUAGAUAUCACGCAGAACUCCGAUUGCGAAGGCAGUAUACCGGCGCCCAACUGACGCUGAAGCACGAAAGCGUGGGUAUCGAACAGGAUUAGAUACCCCUG